GGCUCACUCAACUAGACCCCGCCACCGAUCACAGAUUCACCGAUUCACCAUGGCAACUAGAGCGGCGUUCUUUUCCCCGUCAGAGGCACAAAUCCAUACGAGGAGGUAAAAGACAUAAUUAAGAAGAAAGGCAACACCGCCACAGUGAUAAAGCAAAGAGAAAAAGCGUGGCAAAGUAUUGCAGACCGCCUGAAUGCAUUAAAUAUGACCGGGCCAAAACGGACAUGGCAGCAGGUCAAAAUCAAAUACAAGAACAUUCUGCAGAAUGCAGUGAAAAAGAAUACCCAGAGACAAGGCACGGGUGGUGGGUCACCAAAAGCUGACCUGACCCCAGCAGAGGCCAGCUUUGGAGCUAAAUAAAGGCAGGCCUGUUGGAGGGGAUCCCUGGGGGAAAAGAGACAAGCAUAGGUCCCUCCCAAGAUGCCACCCGCUUCAUACAAGUGUCUGGCAGCACUGUGUUACUGUUAAAGCCACCAGCACGAGCACCAGAUAAUGCUGAUCCAAUGAGUACUCCAUCAAAGGCAUACUGUAGGCCUGGCAUGGCUUGUCUACUAGCUUCAAUAUGAAUCUGAUUAAAUGUGAUAGGGUCAAGGCCCCAUUUCAUCAGCCCAUAACGGCGAUAAUGAUGAAGAGACCACCUCUCUGGAUUCCAGAAGGCAUAAGGACCCAGUGUCAUUGGUGCACUGGACUGCACACACAUAAGGAUAAAAGCCCCCUCAGGUGCCCAUGAGGCAGAUUUUUUAAAUAUGAAAUCUUUUCACAGCAUAAAUGUUCAGGUGAACAUAACUUUUUGAUCUUUUCCUAGAACACUGGCAAAAUGGCCUGGCUCAGUCCAUGACUCCAGAAUCCUUCGG